rnacentral:rRNA from 1 species
GUGAAAUUGUUGAAAGGGAAACGCUUAAAGCCAGUGAUGCUGGUGGGAAUUCAGCUCUCGGAUUUCUGGGAGUGUACUUUCUUGUAAGGCAGGUCAGCAUCAGUUUCGCUAUUCGUAAAAAGUCCGUUGGAAUGUGGCUCCUUUAGGGAGUGUUAUAGCUAGCGGUUAAUCCGGAAAGUGGGACUAAGGAGUGCAGCGAGUGCCCUAUGGUUAAGUGCCUAGUUCUUGUUUGUAAUCGUCUUAAUAACAGCGUGCUGAUAUUAAGAUUAAUUUAUGAACAUGAAUUAGCGUCACAGUAAACUCGCUAAGGAUGCUGACGUAAUGGCUUUAAACGAC